AGAAUCUCCUCCCGUACCCCAGCCCAGAGACAUACAUCCCUUGGCCCUCUGCUCUCACUUCCCACAUACUGGUCCAGGGAGCACAUCAGUACUGUCCAUUCCAUUUCAUGUUUUGUUCACUCCCUGUGUGUGUGCUGUGCAUAGACAGGGAUGGCAGACCCCACUGGUUGCCUUCCCAGCAGCCACUUGCUCCACUUCCCUCCUUCUCUUCUGGUUCUUCCUAAUUGAACUGUUUGAUGGGCACCCUCCCUGCGCUUCAGGAGAGCCAGUCCCACAUGAGGCAAUUCUGGCCAAUGAGCCUGGAUGAGAAAUUUUCUAAGGUGCUUCUGGGGAAAGAUUUUAUAGCUUUAAAGAAGAGGUGUUUGAGGAGACACAGCCCCUUUUCUGAUAUUAGCAGGUGUCUUGGAACUGCGGAGAGCACAGUAACAGUGGAAAGGAAGAAAACAUGGUCAUUGGCAUCGCUGGACUAUUGGAAUUUCCUUAUAAGGCAGUCCAGGUUGCCUUUUGGUAUAGGAUUAUUUCACUGUCCCUGAAAUUUGACAAAUUUGUAGACUCUGCUUUUGUUCAGUCAUGUAAUUCUUCUCUCCAGUAAGUACCGAUACCCCUCACUUUUCUGGACCAGAAAGUUGAGAUCUUCCCUUACUCUGCCUGCGUUUGCUGUUACUGUUCUUCGCCCACCCACGUCUGUGCCCUCAAGUAUUCAUUAUGGUAUUCAUCUGUCAGAUUCUUACAUUGGAUAUGCAAGGUUUUAAUGUCACACCUAAAAUGUUGGGAGACACUUGCUAAGUAUUCACACUGUGGUGCUGGCCUCUUCGGUAAUGCUCUCACACAACUCCUGGCGAAGCUCAGUGUAAGAUGGAAAUUAAAAUCCUCUUUCUACAAGUAAGAAAACAGAACUUUGGAGGAACUCAGUACUGUUUAGCUGGCAGAUGAGAGUGUUGGGAUUAAAUGCAGAUUUGUCUGAAAUAAAAGCCUGUGCUCUUUUCUAGUCUGUGUUUAUUUUAUUUUAUUUUUAUUCUGUUUAUUUGUAAGUAUUUAUUGAGCGCAGAUUAUAGGUCAGCAUCACCUUUAUUUUAGGUUUUUGUUUUGUUACAUGUUUUUUUCCGUGUAUAUGUACUUUCCUGCAUUUUAGCUUUCUUCCCUACAUUAUAAGCUCUCAGCAGAUUAUAAUAGAUGCAGGGUAGUUAUUUUUAAAACAAUGAUUAUUUCUCUCUGGUUGGGUAAGUCAUGUACUUAUAAAAUUUGGAACAUACAAAAAAUAUAAAGUUGAAAGUUACUGAUAAUCUCACCACUUCUAAUAUUUUAAUAUAUUUCCUCCUAGACUUUCAGUAGACUUUCUGGCAGCGACUUAACAGGGUUUCUUACAAAACCUCCAACAUCUUCCCUAACCUCUCCUCCCCUCUUAUGUUCCUAUCCAUCCUGGCUUGUCUUCCUCUUCGCCUGAGCAACCCCUCAUUUAAUGAUUUCUGUUGAGUUCUCCUUAACUUUCCAAGGUACUUGCUGUUAGGAGUUGAAUUGUGUCCUCCAAAAAGAUAUGAUGAAGUCCUAUCUGUGAAUAUGACCUUAUUUAGAAAUUAAGAUAAGGUCAUUAGGGUGGGCCCUGAUACAAUAUGACUGGGACUGUGAUAAUUAGAGGGCAAUCUGCAGGUGUGCAUGGAAAUGCUGUGUGAAGACACAGAGGGAAGAUGGAAGAAAACAGAUGAACAUAUGGGAAGAGGGUAAAGAAAAAAAGGAGAGGGACACCUGGGUGGCUCAGUGGUUGAGCGUCUGCCUUUUGCUCAGGGUGUGAUCCUGGGGUCCAGGGAUUGAGCCCCGUAUUGGGCUUCCUGCAGGGAGCCUGCUUCUCCCUCUGCCUAUGUCUCUGCCUCUCUGUGUGUCUCUCAUGAAUAAAUAAAUAAAAUAUUAAAAAGAAAAAAAAAGGAGAGAGGGAACUAAGCCAUAAGUGAAUCUUGAUAGAGAACAAACUCAGGCUUGAGGUGGGCAGGGGAUAGGCCUGGUAGGUGAUGGGUAUUAAAGAGGGCACUUGCUGUGAUCAGGAAAAAAAAAAAAAAAGUUACUGUUCUUUCCAACCUUGGUCCAGCAGAAUGGCUCCCUCAAAGAAGGGUAGUGAGAAGAAGGGCUGUUCUGCCAAAGAGGUAGUGGCAAGAGAAUAUACCGUCAACAUUUACAAGCAUCCAUGGAAUGGGUUUCAAGAAGUAUGUUCCUUGAGCACUCAAAGAAAUCUGGGAAUUUGCUAUGAAGGAGAUGGGAAUUCAAGUGCACAUUGACACUAGGCUCAACAAAGCUGAUUGGCCCAAAGGAAUAAGGAAUGUUCCAUACCGUAUCUGUGUGUGGUUGUCCAAAAGACAUUGGAUGAAGAUUCACCAAAUGAGCUCCAUAUAUUUUAACCUAUGUAUUUGUCACAACUUUCAAAAAUCUGCAAUUAAUGUGGAUAAGAACUAGCCACUGAUGUCAAAUAAAGGUAUAGAAUUGCAAAGAAAAAAAAGUUUCUGUUUGAUAUAGUUGGACAAAAAUAUAUUGUUUUGCUAGUUUUUUUUUUAGUUUAAUUUUUCCUGUUUUCUGCCGCCUCAUUUUAUUAUGUUUUAAAAAAUAAAAUUCAUUUCGUUUCCUCUACUUAUAUAUACUUCUUUUAAAAACAUCUUUAGUCAUUGCCAUAGAGUUUGCAUUGUACAUUUUGAAAAAUCUGAAUCUACCCUCAAGGAACAUGUCAUAUAAUGCAUGGUGAAAGACUUUAUAAUAGUAGACCUUGUUUUCCAGGCAAUAAAUGCCCAAUACAUUGUUACCUUUAAUGCUUUAAACACUUACUUGCUUUUAAACAUCUCGUAUGUUGCAAGUGUAAGGGGGCAUGAACUGACACACACAAAAAAGGUGGAAAGGAGACAAUGAAGAAUCCAAGGUAACUGAAGACUCCUAAGAGGUUUUGGAAAAAUGACUUCUAGCAAUUGACUCCAUUUUUGGAGCCAAGAGAGACUCUCCGGAAACAGAAAGUCACAACUCCUCUGGAAUCUGGAUAUCGACAGUUUACCCUUCAAUUCUUCAUGAUCUGGAGUCUUUUCAGGGCUAAAAGAAAGAAUACAGAAGAUAGAUAAUUCUGAAAUAGAAAAGAUUUCCAGAGUCAAAAGUAUCAGGGUCCUUUGAAAAACUUGAAGGUACAGUUUAUCUGCCUUUCCUCAGUUUUACCAUUAUCAGUGCUAUGGUGGAUAUACAGAAUACUUGUUGACAGAUCAUCCCAUUUUCAGUUUCUCAUUUAGCAUGACAUACACUUUCAGGUCUUGCUUCUUUACCCAUUGUAAGAAUCUCUGGCUUUUAGUUGAAAUGUUUAGUCCAUUUAUACUUGAUGAAAUUAUUGAUAUAGUUGAGUUUAAAUCUACCAACUUGCUUGUUUUUGAUUUCCCCUUUCUGCUUUUUUUUUUUUUUGUAUUACUCUCUUUGUGCCUUCUUUUGAGGUAAUAAGAUAUUUAAAAUUUUUAUUUCAUUUCAGCUUUUGGGUCUCUUUAAAGCUAUACUAUUAAAAAAAUAAAGAUUUAAAAUUUGACAUUUUGGUCAAUUGUUCUUCAACAAGGGUGCCAGGAAUACAGAAUGAGGAAAUUAUUGGCUCUUCAAUAAGUGGUUUUUGGGAAAUUGGGUCCUUACACAAAAAGUCAAAAUGAGGGGAUCCCUGGGUGGCUCAGUGGUUUGGCGCCUGCCUUUGGCCCAGGGUGUGAUCCUGGAGUCCUGGGAUUGAGUCCCACAUCAGGUUCCUGGCAUGGAGCCUGCUUCUCCCUCUGCCUGUGUCUCUGCCUCUGUGUGUGUGUCUUUCAUGAAUAAAUAAAAUCUUUAAAAAAUAAAUCUUAAAAAAAGUAAAAAUGAUUUAAAUAUUAAAUGUAAGAUCUGAAACUGUAAAACCCCUAGAAGAAAACAGAGAAAAAUCUUUUUUUUUUUUUUUUUUAAAGAGGACAUGAAUGGACAACGGGUACAUAGAAAAAGUGCUCAACAUGCCGAAUCAUCAGGGAAAUGCAAAUCAAACCUGCAAUGAAAUACUGCCUCAUUUAUUUGGAUGGCUAUUACCAAGAAAGCAAAAGUUUAUGGGAAACAGUAUAGAGGCUCCUCAAAAAAUUAGAACUACCAUAUGAUCUAGAAAUCCCACUUCUCACUAUGUAUCUUAAAGACUUGAAAUCAGUAUCUCAGAUAUCGUGCCCAGCACAGAGCCUGACAUGUGACUUGAUCCCAUGACCUUGAAGUCAUGACCUGAGCUGAAGUCAAGAGUUGGACACCUAACUGCCUCAUGGUCCUGCUAUGUUUGACAACAUGGAUAAAUCUGGAGGACUUAGCUAAGUGAAAUAAAUCAGAUGCAAAAGGACAAAUGCUACAUGAUACCACUUAUACAUAUAAGGAAUGUAAACUAGUCAAUUUCAUAGAAGCAGAGAUUAGAGUGGUGGCUGCAAAGGACAGGAUGGGGAGAGAAAUGGGGAAGUAUUAGUUAAAGGGUAUAAAGCUUCAGUUAUACAAGAGGAAUACGUCCUGGAAAUGUGCUGUACAGCACAGAUCCUAUAGUUAACAAAAUUUUAAGUAUACAAUACAAUAUUGUUAAGAGUGAGAUCUUAUGUUAAGUGUUCUUAUCACCAAAAAAUAAUAAGGAAGGCAGCAGGAAAUUUUGUAGGUGAUGGGUAUGUUUAUGACAUAGAUUAGAAUGAUGGUUUUGUGGAUGUACCUUGAUCUCCAAACUCAUCACGUUUUAUUCAUUAAAUAUAUACAGAUUUUUGUAUGUCAGUCAUACCUUAUUAAAGUGGUUUGAACAAAAUAUCUACUUAUUUCUCUUCUGAUUUCUCCUUUGAUAUGCAUUAGAGUUAUGCUAUUUAGUUAAUAUUUGAGAUUUUUCUGAUAUCUUUCUAAUUGUGAUCUGAAAAAAUACUUUGACCUAAAUUCUUUAAAAAUUUAAUGAUGCUUUUAUUAUACACAGUAGUAUAUGGUCCAUCUUGAUAAAUGUUCCAUAUGCACUUGAAAGAUGUGUACUAUUCUUUUGUUGAAGGGGGUGUUCUACAAGUGUCAAUCAGGUCUAUUUAGUUCAUAGUGUUUUUAUUCCUCAAAUAUUUUUUUCUAUCCUUUCUGUCUCUGCUAUUUCAGGACUCCAAUUAUAUGUAUAUUAGACUAUUUAAGGUUGUCCUAAGGCUCACAG
rnacentral:lncRNA from 1 species